rnacentral:misc_RNA from 1 species
AAGUCGUAACAAGGUUUCCGUAGGUGAACCUGCGGAAGGAUCAUUAACACGUAUCCACGUAUCAAAACCCCUCUGCGAAACCUCUUCUACGUAAGGCUUGAUCGGAGUUGUGCCCAUUCGAUCUCAAUGAUGGGAGUUGGUCGGUUCUUCGGAUCUGAUCAGCUCGGGAUCUAUGAAUGAGUACCGCGUUUGACGAUCAGCCGCUAUUUUCCCAUCGUUAGCCCAUUUAACUUUUAAACCCCUUGUACUUUUAUGUACUGAACCAAUUCUUCGAGUUUCGGCUUCGGCUGAGAUACGAAA